rnacentral:tRNA from 1 species
GACCACAUAGCGCAUUUGACUUUGGAUCAAAAGGGUCUUGUGUUCGACUCUCACUGUGGUCG